CUUGGCGCACGUGUGGGGAAGCAUCGGGGGCGGCCAGCUCCGCCCCCCCACCCCGCGCCCUGGAUGCCUCGCAGGCCCGACGGGUGCCAUGGCGGGGGCCUGCUGUGCGCCCGGCUGUGUGACCCUCACACCUUGCUGGCCAGGCUGGGCCGCGACUUCUCUGCCUCACUCAGACCAGAGAAGGUGAGUGACAGGUCUGUGGUCACACAGCUGGGAGGGGACAGUAGGCCCUGUUCCAGAGAUGAGUCGAGUCCUUCCCCUGACCACCCCCCCUCUGCAGGAGCCAGUCCAGAGCCAGCACCCUGGGGGGUCACCCCAGUCCUCCUGGCCCUGGGGCCACUGGGCCCUGCUCGGGGGAAGCCGGAACUGCCUCCUUCGGCACAGGAGGGGGUGAGACCGCCCCGGACAGCCAGGCUGCGCCACCCCCCGAGACGGGCGGGCAGAGGGGCCAGGGAGCGGCAAGGGGCCUCCGUCCCCAGCCAUCCGCGACACACACCACCUAACCUUCUCCCCCGAGAACCCCGCUGCCCCCAGGAGGCCUUCCCUGAAUGCCCCCGCACUCUCCCACCUCGCCCCUGCCCCAGCAGGACCAGAGGCGACCUGCUCCCCGGGGAGCACCAAGAAGGUCCAGCGGAGCCGGGCGCAACCCGGCCAGCCAGGCCGGCGUCCAGUGUGAGGGCCUGGGGUGUGGCGGGGACCCGAGGGACCACCCCGCAGUGCUCGGGCGUGUCCAGGGCCACCCCAGCGAGGCCCGGGAUGGAGCCUGGGUCAUUUCACACCCGCAUGUGCCCUGAUCAGUCUCCUGGGGCCCGGGGGUCAGCAAGUCUUUCCACACGGCACCGAACUCCGCUCAGCAGGAGGGCACACACACACACUCACUGGCACACAGGCGCACACACAACACACACACAGGCACACACAGGUACACACUCAGGCACACACAGGCAUCCAACAGGCAUCCACACAUGCACACACAACACACACAUACACACAGGUACACACAUGCAUACACAACACACACAGGCACACACAGACACACACAGGUACACACACAUGCAUAUAAAGACAUACAUACAGGCAUCCACACAUGCAUACACAACACACACUGGCACACACAUACACACAGACACACACAGGCACACACAUACACACAGACACACACAGGCACACACAUACAUACACAGGUACACACACAUGCACAUAAAGACAUACAUAUAGGCAUCCACACAUGCAUACACAACACACACAGGCACACACAUACACACAGACACACACAGGUACACACAUACACAGACACACACACAGGUACACACACAGGUACACAUACAGGUACACACAGACACACACACAUGCACACAGACACACACUCUAUCUCUGGCAGAGAUGCCUGGCCCCAGGGCCCCGUCCAUCCUGUGGCCAGCAGGACAGGGGCGCUGGCCCACACCCCGAGAACCGGCCCCCGGGUGCACAGAUGCAGCGGGAGGGCUGCUGGCGGACCCCCUGGGUGGACUCGCAGCUCCGGUCACAGCUCUGGUUUCCCCGAGGGCGGGACGGAGCGGCCCUGCUCCGGGGAGCGGCCUGGCGGCCGGGCAUGAGAGCAGGGACGGCCAGUGGAGCAGGUGCCGGGCCCCAGCCCCGCACAGAUGGACACGGCAGGGAGGGGACAGGCGGGGCGAGCCAGGAGCUUCUAGCCCAGAGUGGGGGGAGGAGGCACGCCCAGGCAGGGGGCGGGGGAAGGGGGAGACGGCAAAGGAAGGUCAGUGCCUAGGCCCUGGGGCAGCUGACCCUGCCUGGCGGAGGUGGCGGACAGAGGGAGGAGGCCAGUGGGGGAGGGCAGGGAGGGCUGAGGCAACCCCCAGGGCCUUGAAGGACAGACUUGGGGCAAGACAGUGUCAGGGAACCCUGGUUCCUGGGGAGGCCUGGCAGGGGCUGCAGCCCCCCAGGUGAAUGAGGUGCUGGGAGCAGGGGAAUGCUGGGGACAGCCUGGAAAGGCGGGGGCACCGGGGUCCACAGGGCAGGGCCAGGGUCCUGGGCCUGGCAAGACCCCGGGGUGCUGCUUCCUGCACCGGGAGUGCAGUUAGUGGAGACCCAACUCCUAGCGCAGCUGGGGGGGGGCUCCCCUCACUGCCCAGGAGGCCCGGGAGGGCCAGUCUCCCUCCAGCCCGCAGGGCCGGCUCUCUGGGUGUUCUGGGGACCCUCAGCCGGGGGUAACCCACCCUGGCGGAGGGUGGGUGCGGGGCGAUGGGAACUGUGUUCCAGGAGGCACAUCUGGGGGUCUCCCUGCCUGAGUCUGGGGGCAACGGGACUCAGGAGGGAGGCCUACAGGGAGGACUGGGAGAGAAAGGGGGGCCGCUCGGUGAGGGGGACCGGAAGGAAUGAGCCAGGCCUCACGGGCGCCACAUGGGGGGUGUGGGGAAGGCAGGAGCUGGGGGUGCGGAGCCGGGAGGACACACCAGGGCUCCAGGCAGAAACGAACCCCGGGGCCCAGGGCCUUUGCAGUGACGGAGACGGAGGGUGAUGGGGGCCAGGCCGGCUGGGUCGUGGGGGGGACAGGGCGGGGGGGGGGGACAUGGGCCUGCCACCCGCUAGGUCUGAGCCCCAAGGGGAGCCGGACUCUGUGGCUGCCACCUCGAGAGCAGAAGAGAACGGGGGUCUCCGCGUGACCCUCACGGCGGGGCGCCCCGGGGCCGCCAGCACUCCCGCGAGGUCACCCCCGACCCGCGCCCCCGAACCCCGCAGCGGCCCAGUUCCUGGGG